rnacentral:tRNA from 1 species
GCGCGGUUAGCUCAGCGGUAGAGCAACUCGUUUACACCGAGUGGGCCGGGGGUUCGAUCCCCUCACCGCGCACCA